AGAGGGUGCAAACGUUGUUCGGAAUUACUGGGCGUAAAGCGCGUGUAGGCGGCUAUGCAAGUCGGAUGUGAAAGCCCUCGGCUCAACCGGGGAAGUGCACCCGAAACUGCAAAGCUAGAGUCUCGGAGAGGAUCGUGGAAUUCUCGGUGUAGAGGUGAAAUUCGUAGAUAUCGAGAGGAACACCGGUGGCGAAGGCGGCGAUCUGGACGAUGACUGACGCUGAGACGCGAAAGCGUGGGGAGCAAACAGGAUUAGAUACCCUGGUAGUCCACGCCGUAAACGAUGGGUGCUAGGUGUCGCGGGCUUUGACCCCUGCGGUGCCGCAGCUAACGCAUUAAGCACCCCGCCUGGGAAGUACGGCCGCAAGGCUA
rnacentral:rRNA from 1 species